rnacentral:rRNA from 1 species
AGCGAACGCUGGCGGCAGGCUUAACACAUGCAAGUCGAACGAGCCUUUCGGGGCUAGUGGCGGACGGGUGAGUAACGCGUGGGAACGUGCCCUAAGGUACGGAACAACUGAGGGAAACUUCAGCUAAUACCGUAUGUGCCCGAGAGGGGAAAGAUUUAUCGCCUUAGGAGCGGCCCGCGUCUGAUUAGCUAGUUGGUGGGGUAAAGGCCCACCAAGGCUUCGAUCAGUAGCUGGUCUGAGAGGAUGGCCAGCCACAUUGGGACUGAGACACGGCCCAAACUCCUACGGGAGGCAGCAGUGGGGUAUCUUGCGCAAUGGGCGAAAGCCUGACGCAGCCAUGCCGCGUGGAUGAUGAAGGUCUUAGGAUUGUAAAAUCCUUUCAGCGGGGACGAUAAUGACGGUACCCGCAGAAGAAGCCCCGGCUAACUUCGUGCCAGCAGCCGCGGUAACAC